rnacentral:rRNA from 1 species
AACUCUAAGCGGUGGAUCACUCGGCUCGUGUGUCGAUGAAGAGCGCAGCCAGCUGCGUGAACUAAUGUGAAUUGCAGGACACAUUGAACAUCGAUAUCUUGAACGCAUAUUGCGGCCUCGGGCAUUCCCGAGGCCACGCCUGUCUCAGGGUCGGUUGAACGUCAAUCGCGAG